AGAGUUUGAUCCUGGCUCAGGACGAACGCUGGCGGCGUGCCUAAUACAUGCAAGUCGUGCGGACCUUUUAAAAGCUUGCUUUUAAAAGGUUAGCGGCGGACGGGUGAGUAACACGUGGGCAACCUGCCUGUAAGACUGGGAUAACGCCGGGAAACCGGGGCUAAUACCGGAUCGUUUUUUCCUCCGCAUGGAGGAAAAAGGAAAGGCGGCUUCGGCUGCCACUUACAGAUGGGCCCGCGGCGCAUUAGCUAGUUGGCGGGGUAACGGCCCACCAAGGCAACGAUGCGUAGCCGACCUGAGAGGGUGAUCGGCCACAUUGGGACUGAGACACGGCCCAAACUCCUACGGGAGGCAGCAGUAGGGAAUCUCCCGCAAUGGACGAAAGUCUGACGGAGCAACGCCGCGUGAGUGAAGAAGGCCUUCGGGUCGUAAAACUCUGUUGCCGGGGAAGAACAAGUGCCGUUCGAACCAGGGCGGCGCCUGACGGUACCCGGCCAGAAG
rnacentral:rRNA from 1 species